UACGGGGGGGCAAGCGUUGUUCGGAAUUACUGGGCGUAAAGGGCUCGUAGGCGGCCAACUAAGUCCGACGUGAAAUCCCCAGGCUCAACCUGGGAACUGCGUCGGAUACUGGAUGGCUUGAAUCCGGGAGAGGGAUGCAGAAUUCCAGGUGUAGCGGUGAAAUGCGUAGAUAUCUGGAGGAAUACCGGUGGCGAAGGCGGCAUCCUGGACCGGCAUUGACGCUGAUGAGCGAAAGCCAGGGGAGCAAACGGGA
rnacentral:rRNA from 1 species